CUCCUUUUACGUUCGGAUGGUAAUUUAUAGAAGGAAAAUCAGGCAUUCUAUUACCAGCGGAGAAGUAUAGUAUUCUUAUCUGCUCGCUGCUUUCCAUUCCAGCUCAAUAUUCUUCAGAGAAAACUCGAUUCUCCUCACACAACCCGUCAAACCCAUUCAGUUAUUGUCCUUCAUUUAUCGUAGCUGCAGAUCUUUGUCGACAGAGAGAGCGUCCGAGAGGUUUUUUCGCUACUAAUUUACGAGCUUCGAUCUUCUUUCUUAAUAGCUAAGAGAAGAAUAUGGGUCACCACCACCACCAUCACCAUCAUGGAGAUAGCCCAUACGACGAUCCCUUCUUGGCGUGUUGUUGCUGCCCUUACUUCCUUGUAUCUUCCAUUUUCAGCGGAGUUGGGAGAUGCAUAUACGCAGCUUGUUACCCUUUCUUGCGGUGCUUCGGGUUGGACGAGAUCGGACACCACCGCCGCCGCCACCACCACCACCACCACCACCAUUUCAAUUGAUCUUUGUAAGUGCAGGGAUUCAUGAGUACAGUUUUUUCUUGUUUUCCAUUUCCAGAAUUCCUGUUGGAAAGGAAAUUCCAAAAAAUUUUCAGUGCAUGCAAAAGAAGACUACGUACCAUAUCUUUCUAUGCCACAAGUUAAUUUGUGCAAGUGAUGGAUGUGUUUGGGUGGUCCAAUUCCAAGAUGAAUUUUCAUUUUUCUGGGUUUCAUUUUGCA